GAAGCAUUGUGAGCUCAAAGAAGGAAAGGAAAAAAAAAAGUGAGAGCACUGAGAAGGAGAAGAAAAUCGAGAGAGAGAGAGAGAGAGAGAGAUUUGUGCUGGAAAUCUAACUCAAGAGUCCAAGAAGAAGAAGAAAUAUGGAAGAAAAAGUUAGCUAAGGCAUGGAAUUGAAGGGAAUCAACUAAACUUCUUGAGAUUAAAGUUCAAGGUCACGUGCUAUGGUCCGUCUACUCUUUCUCUGGAGCUAUCUAUGAUCAAGCGCGUAACCAGGCCUAGAGCUUCUGCCUGGACUUUAUCUUGUCAACCAACCUAUGUGCUUCCCAUGGAGGUUCCGAAUAUGUCAAAUGCCGAGGCUAUGUGGUUAAAGUUUAAGUUUUUGGUUAUUCUGUAUAUAGGGCUAAGUCCCUUUUGUCUUCUUUAUAUAUGUGCUGAUGCAUGAUUGAUGUGAUAAUAUAUGUAUAUAAAAAAGAAAAAGUUUAAAUAUUGUCUAUCUCAUGUAAGUCUGCACAACUCAAUGGACGAUGUAUGUUUGUAUUUUGCUUCUGCUAGUCCCUAAUAUUAUGUAUUUGUUUAAGAGGCCUUCGGUAAUCUUAGGAUUACUGGCCGGUCAUGACACUAAACCUAUAGGGGCGGGUUUGGGUCGUGACACGUACCUAAUCGUAUUUCAUAUGGAGAAGGAGAAGGUUUUAACCGUAUUUGAUUGA